UACUAGCAGCGAGGUAAUAGUAAAAAUCUUCUCUUAAUUUCUUUUGAGAGCGAUUGUAAUAGAUAGGCUGACCAUGC
rnacentral:misc_RNA from 1 species